GAGGCUGUGAUUCAAAGGAAACUUAAGAAUCCACACAGCAAAUUCUGGAACCCUGAGGAUGAUGAAUGAGGUGCUUAUAGUUGGGUAUGAGACAACCAACCAACAGACAGGAGGAGUAAUAAUGAAAGGACAGAUGUAAAACACUAUUGUCAUUUCAUAAUUUGUGCUUCCAGUGCAGCUGAUUGAGACAGACUAAACUAUAAGACUGGUUCCUAACAAGAAGAAACCUACAUUUAUUUUACAACAGAGACUCCAGACCAUCCUGCAGACAAGAGGAUCUGCCCACCUGUAAUUAUCAACUCCAGAUUGAUUUACAAAGGAACAAAAGCAUAGAAAUACAAGGAAACAAAGAAGACACAUGACAGAAGCAGAGAAGAAGUUUGGUUGAGUGCUCUACUGAAGGUACUACAAAGAGGACUGGAAUCCAGACAGAGCAGAAUGGUUGUGCCAAACUAAAGAAAUAGAGGCAAGAGUUCAGUGAGGCCAUGGUAGCUAGAGUGCACUGGAAGAGAAUAGUAGAGGUAGCCCCAGAGAAAUCUCAGAACUCUGAGGAAAGGUCAUUGGCUAAGCACAUAUGACCACACAAGAAAGACCAUGAAAGUGAGCCGGAAAGAGGCUUCCCAAAGCAAGAUCCAGACUGAUGUGUAUUCUGAACUUAGCUGGAGAUGGGCAUUUACUCCAGUCCUGGGGGCACCGAAGACACCCUUGGAAUGAAACCACCAUAUGAAGAAUCAUCCCUGGGCAAAACACUGCUCUGAGCCUGACAAGGGAAGUAAAAGAGGAAAUUCACUGGGGUCAAAUAGAUAUGAAAUAGCUGAAAAGCAAGCUGAACUGUGGCAAUCUUUAAAAUAAUACUAUAAAACCCGACUUCCAACA